AACGAACGCUGGCGGCAUGCCUAACACAUGCAAGUCGAACGAGACCUUCGGGUCUAGUGGCGCACGGGUGCGUAACACGUGGGAAUCUGCCCUUUGCUUCGGAAUAACAGUUAGAAAUGACUGCUAAUACCGGAUGAUGUCGAAAGACCAAAGAUUUAUCGGCAAAGGAUGAGCCCGCGUAGGAUUAGGUAGUUGGUGGGGUAAAGGCCUACCAAGCCGACGAUCCUUAGCUGGUCUGAGAGGAUGAUCAGCCACACUGGGACUGAGACACGGCCCAGACUCCUACGGGAGGCAGCAGUGGGGAAUAUUGGACAAUGGGCGAAAGCCUGAUCCAGCAAUGCCGCGUGAGUGAUGAAGGCCUUAGGGUUGUAAAGCUCUUUUACCAGGGAUGAUAAUGACAGUACCUGGAGAAUAAGCUCCGGCUAACUCCGUGCCAGCCGCCGCAGUAAUAC
rnacentral:rRNA from 1 species